AUUGAACGCUGGCGGCAGGCCUAACACAUGCAAGUCGAACGAGUGGCGGACGGGUGAGUAAUGUCUGGGAAACUGCCCGAGGGAGGGGGAUAACUACUGGAAAAGGUAGCUAAUACCGCAUACCAUCGGAUGUGCCCAGAUGGGCUUAGCUAGUAGGGGGGGGAACGGCUCACCUAGGCGACGAUCCCUAGCUGGUCUGAGAGGAUGACCAGCCACAAUGGAACUGAGACACGGUCCAGACUCCUACGGGAGGCAGCAGUGGGAAAUAUUGCACAAUGGGCUCAAGCCUGAUGCAGCCAUGCCGCGUUUAUGAAGAAGGCCUUCGGGUUGGAAAGUACUUUGAGCGGGGAGGCGUUACCCGCAGAAGAAGCACCGGCUAACUCCGUGCCAGCAGCCGCGGUAAUUC
rnacentral:rRNA from 1 species